rnacentral:rRNA from 1 species
UGAGGAAUAUUGGUCAAUGGGCGUAAGCCUGAACCAGCCAUCCCGCGUGCAGGAGGACGGCCCUAUGGGUUGUAAACUGCUUUUCCAGGGGGAGAAACUUGCGCACGUGUUGCGCAAUUGACGGUACUCUGGGAAUAAGCAUCGGCUAACUCCGUGCCAGCAGCCGCGGUAAUACGGAGGAUGCGAGCGUUAUCCGGAUUCAUUGGGUUUAAAGGGUGCGUAGGCGGACUAUUAAGUCAGUGGUGAAGUCCUGCAGCUUAACUGCAGAACUGCCAUUGAUACUGAUAGCCUUGAGUUUGGUUAAGGUAGGCGGAAUGUGUAAUGUAGCGGUGAAAUGCUUAGAUAUUACACAGAACACCAAUUGCGUAGGCAGCUUACUGAGCCGACACUGACGCUGAGGCACGAAAGCGUGGGGAUCGAACAG